rnacentral:misc_RNA from 1 species
AACGCACGAGACCUGCGGACCUGCGGAAGGAUCAUUAGUGAACGCCCUCACGGGCUUAUAAUUAUUCCAAACCUCUGUGAACCGUGCCCUUCGGGGCUAUUUUACAAACAUGGUGUAAUGAACGUCAUAUAUCAUAACAAAACAAAACUUUCAACAAUGGAUCUCU